AGUGAACGCUGGCGGCGUGCUUAACACAUGCAAGUCGAACGAGAACGGAUUAUAGCUUGCUAUAAUUGUCAGCUAAGUGGCGCACGGGUGAGUAAUGUAUAGGUAAUAUGCCUCUUACUAAGGGAUAACAAAUGGAAACGUUUGCUAAUACCUUAUACUCCUUAUUAACCUAAGUUAAUAAGGGAAAGAUUUAUUGGUAAGAGAUUAGCCUGUAUUGUAUCAGUUAGUUGGUGGGGUAAUGGCUUACCAAGACUAUGACACAUAACUGGUUUGAGAGGAUGAUCAGUCACACUGGAACUGAGACACGGUCCAGACUCCUACGGGAGGCAGCAGUGGGGAAUAUUGCACAAUGGACGAAAGUCUGAUGCAGCAACGCCGCGUGGAGGAUGACACAUUUCGGUGCGUAAACUCCUUUUAUAUGAGAAGAUAAUGACGGUAUUAUAUGAAUAAGCACCGGCUAACUCCGUGCCAGCAGCCGCGGUAAGAC
rnacentral:rRNA from 1 species